rnacentral:ncRNA from 1 species
UUAGUUUGAUUCUAACUAAAUUAUUAAUCUUUAUUUUGUGCCUUAUGUAAAACCUGUCUAAAAGAAAAAAAGAGGGUAUGACAUUUAUGUAUAACUUCAAUUUACAGUGGCUAAAACUAAUCAAUACAUGAAAGUGUGAACUGGCAAAGAUAAAAUAUAUUGGCUAAAUUCGUGCCAGCAGCCGCGGUUAGACGAAAAAUAUUUAAUAAUAAAAUCCCUUACAGAUAAAAUAUAUAAUACUAAUAGGUUAAAUUAAAACUUAUUAUGUACCUUACUUACCAUUAAUAAACUAUUACCUAAAACAAGGAUUAGAUACCCUUCUAUUAAUAGCCUAUUUAUAAGAGGGUGGAAAAUACGAACAACAGUUUAAACACCAAAGAAUUUGGCGGUGUCUCAAUUAAUUAGGGGAACCUGUCCCUUAAAUCGAUAAUCCACGAAAGCCUUACCUAGCUUUGAAACUCAGUUAGUGUACUGCCGUCUUAAGCAUACCUUUAUAAGUGUAUACAAUACAUCAUUUAACUGAUAAAACGUCAGGUCAAAGUGCAGCUUAUAGCUAGGCGGAGAUGGGUUACAACCUUAAUAUAGAUUACGGAUAAACCAAUAAAAUGGCUUUUAAGGUGGACUUAACAGUAAUUAACUAUCUAUUAAUGAAAAUUAUAUGAGACAAGUACAAAUCGCCCGUCACUCCUUCAAGGAUAAGUCGUAACAUAGUUGAUGUAACGGAAGUUGCAUCUGU